rnacentral:rRNA from 1 species
GAUCGCGGUGACGUGGGCGGUUCGCCGCCUGCGACGUCGCGAGAAUUCCACUGAACCUUAUCAUUUAGAGGAAGGAGAAGUCGUAACAAGGUUUCCGUAGGUGAACCUGCGGAAGGAUCAUUG